GGGGGCGCCUUGGUUUCGACUGGAUGCUUGAGGUGCUGGCUGCAUGUGAUGGUUGAUCGGCUGGCCAUCUAAAAAGCCGUUCAAAACAAUAAAUGCAAACUAUUCUGAAGAAGAAUACGCAUUGGCUGCUUAAUUAGCCGGCCACGUCAGACACCCGACGCCUACUAGGGUGAAAGACGCCAACUUAGUAGGCUGGUGCGAUGCGGGGAGACCGCGCUGACCACGAGACAACCACAGGUCCCUAGCGAGUUGCAAAGCUGUCGUAUGGCGAAGCAAACGCAAAUGCAGCUACAUACGUCUGAACAUGGAGAUGCCGGCAGUGACGGCGUUCAGGACAGGGGUUCGACUCCCCUCGCCUCCACCA
rnacentral:tmRNA from 1 species